AAUGAGUCAGGGCUUUGGCAGUGUGCCAUGAGCUGAUCACACUCACUCACGUGAGAGCGACCUGCAUUCCAUUGCAUGUCUACAGACAAAGGAAUUCUCCAGUUGAAACAUUAUUGAAGAUUUAUGAUAAAAACAUCCUAAAGAUUGAUUCUAUACUUCGUUUGACAUGUUUCUUCAAACUGUAAAAUCACCGGAUGUUUUGGAAGCAAAACUGAACGUAACGUGCCAAUGUAAACUGAGAUUUUUGGAUAUAAAUAUGAACCUUAUCGAACAAAACAUACAUGUAUUGUGUAACAUGAAGUCCUAUGAGUGUCAUCUGAUGAAGAUCAUCAAAGCAAGCACAUCAGUUGAAAACGAAAAACCUGAGUAGCUGGUGUGUGCGGUCACCAAAAUGCCGGAGGAUUUAAAGAGAGAGGACUUUGUUGAUCUAAGCUUUGGUGUUCAGGUGGCCAAGGAGAAGUUCCUGAUCAACAACAAAAAACAAGACCUGAUUGAGGUGCUCUUCACCAGGGAGGAGAUGGUGUUGUUCUCCGUGUCGGGCAGGAAAUCAAACAUCGUUCAAGAUUCUGUGACAAAGCCAGCUUUGUCAAGCAACAAAGUGCUCGCUCUUGUUGGGGGCAGCAGUGAGCUGAAGAGUUUCUUCUCGAGAGGCUCUGCUGAAUUGAAGAGUGAAAUGAGGAGACACAGAGAGCUUGCAUCCAAAGCAGAGUCCUGUCUCAGAGUGGAUGAUGCUGGCCAGAGUUGUUUGCAAGGUAUUGUCUGGCAGCUCCUCUGAUUUGAUGAAAUCCAUAAUGGCCUUAUAAAAGUUACCGAGGGCAACUGGAAUAGCUACUCUCUCCUCUUCCUCGGAGAUGGCCGGUUGAUGAAUAUAGAACCCAAGCUGUCAGUUGUGAGGCGGAGAGACGUCUCGGAGGUUGCCUGUCAGUCAUUGGGGGAACGUGUCAGAAAGUGAAAAGGCAGCGUUAAGACGUCAGACACAUUUACAUUGAGCCCUGUCUGCUGGAGAAAGCCUCUCCCUCACCAGUGACCAAUGUUGAUUCUACAAUAACGGCCGCGACGCAGCGCUGCAAAAAUCUUUUUCUUUCAGCGAGCGAACCCCCUCGUCCUAUUAGACCUGAUGCUGUGUGAAAUCCACCCUCACCAUUUCCUCUAGCUACCUGGAAAAGUAAAGAAACAUGAAUAUGGGCUCCGAGGAGAGGCUACAAUAUUCACGUACGUGUACACACACUCAGGCACACACUUCAGUCUCCGGCUCUUUAUUUGUCUGUGCCUGGGAAGGCCGAGGCCUCUUGCAGCCCAAGCGACCUAAGCAACAGCUGGUGUGCACAGACACAUUUCCUAUUUCUGCCCAAGGUGGAUCAUAUAACUCUCACUUUAUCACCCUUGGAGGCCAUGUGAAGGACAAAAUGAGCACGCCCAUAAACAAAACUAAUGUUUUCAUACUGGCCCUCUGGAGGUGGUAGAAGGGGC
ensembl:lncRNA